GCACUCAAGGUAUUGGGCGAAAAAGAUUCAAGCAGAUUGGAAGAUUCUUGAGAAGGAUUUGCCAGAGACAAUAUUUGUGAGAGCCUGUGAAUCAAGAAUGGAUCUUAUGAGAGCUGUAAUUAUUGGAGCUGAAGGGACUCCUUACCAUGACGGUCUUUUCUUUUUGGAUAUUCACUUCCCUGAUACCUAUCCUUCAGUGGCUCCAGUAAUGUCCUCAAGAACUACUUUCUCAAUGUGUUCUUUCUUAAAACACUUGAUAACUUUUGGAGUUUCAUUUUGUUGGUGACAGAUGGUUCAUUACCAUUCUGGUGGGCUUACAAUCAACCCUAAUCUAUACAACUCUGGUCAUGUAUGCCUGAGUCUUUUCGGUACCUGGUAUGGUAAUACGAGGGAGAACUGGCUCCCACAGGAGUCCACAAUGCUUCUUGUCUCAAUCCAAGGACUCAUCUUGAAUCGAAAACCGUACUAUAACGAACCUUUCGUUGGGUGGACCAAGUGGACUCCAUUAGGCGAGCCUUUUUCCAAAGGUUACAGUGAGAACGUAUUCAUAUUGUCGUUACGAACAAUGGUAUACAUCAUGAGGAAGCCACCAAAUGCAAGUAUCUAGUCAAAAGUUCAAAAACUUUGAGGUUCUUUGUUCUUUGAAGACUGUUAAUAAUAACAGUUGUGAUGAAAUGUGCAGCACUUUGAAGAGUUUGUUCGUAGCCAUUACUUUGUAAGGGCUCGCGAUAUAGUGAAGGCAGCCAAUGCUUAUAUAGACGGUGCUCCUGUUGGUUCCAUAGUUAAAGGUACUAGCCAAAGCGGGUCCAUGAAGUUUAGAACCGAAGUGGCUGUCUUUAUGAAGACAGUUGUGGAUGAGUUCGUUAAACUAGGAGUCAAGGAGCUUCAAGAUAAACUGAAACCACCACCUGUGAUUCAUACUAACACAUCGAGGCUGUGUUUUAUAUUUAGUAUGCUAUGUUUAUUGUUUAUUUUGUUGGUGGUGGUUCAUGGUAGCAUCGAAGACAAGUUAUCAAUACUCGCCUAACACGGACGGAGUAGAGCAAUGCUUUUU